CAUAUACUCCCUCCGUCCCAAAAUCCUUGUCUUAGAUUUGUCUAAAUACGGAUGUAUCAAGUCAUAUUUUAGUAUUAGGUACAUCCGUAUCUAGACAAAUUUAAGACAAGAUUUUUGGGAUGAAGGGAGUAGUAU
rnacentral:pre_miRNA from 1 species